UUUUCUCAGGUCCCAGCGUGGCUCUCAAAUGAACUUCUUACAGACCGCUUCGGACCUUUCACUGCUGCAUGCAGAAUGCUGUGAAUGACUUUCCACGGGGUAGACAGAAAGGAAAGAUAAUUUCAGGGAUGGUGGAGUGGAACAAUAGACAGCGCCGAGGAGAAAUUGGCCUCUGUGGGAAAGGUCCUAGUUCACUGGAGUUAAUGCUGAGCUCUGUAUUGAAGUUAAAAGAAGGGAUUGGCUGUUCCUCGAGGGACGUGAUUGGGCGAAUCCUGACGUGGACGUCUUUAAAAGGGCGGCGCUCCCAAAAUAUGGCGAGCUCACUUCGUCGAUAUUGUGUCGGUUUCAGUUAACAAAAAGUGAUUAAUGGCUUAAGGAACUACUCUGGAGCGUAGGAGAGGUCUGCCCUUUAUUUUUGAUAUGAUUUUGCGAUGCGUUUUUGCCUAGGGAGUUAGGGAAGUUGAUUUGUAUUUUCUUUUCCUUAUCGUUAGGUAAUUUAUAUAUUUUAUUUUAUUAUGGUCUUUUGGUUUGUUAUUCUGGCCUUGGGUCUCUCUGAAGUUAAUGCUCCUUUAUAUAUUAAUUUUACUUGUUACCCAAUAAAUAACUUAAAAUUCACUUAUUCUUAUUCUUAAAUCUUAUUCGCGUCUCACCCAUUAAAAUGGGCCCGUAACAAUACAAUUAAAACUAAAAGACUUUCAAACCACAUGAGCCAAUAUUUUAUUUACAAUGGAACAUUGAGAACAUAAUCAGUGUUUAAAUGAAGAAAUUUGACAGUUUGAGCUCGUUUAAAAUUUGAUGCCUGCUACUGGUCUCAAAAAAGUUGACACGUGUCAACAAAGGGCUGUGAAAGCAAAAAAUGUUGAAAACAUUCAGCUGGGGGAACAUAUAGCAACUAAUUGGGAUAAUUGACAUCAGGUCUGUAAUAUGAAAUAUUAGCUAUAAAAAGGAUGUCUUUUAAAGAGGCAGAAUCUCACACAAGUAAAGAUCUGUGAAAGAAUUUGUAAAUAGAUUGUGAAAUGCGUUCCUCAACGUCAAAUUGUAAAGGUUUUGCUAAUCUCAUCAUCUACAGCGUAUGACAUUGAGCUUCUCAAAAGAUUCAGAGAAACUGGAAACAUAUGUGUGCGUAAGGGACAAGGCCAA